rnacentral:misc_RNA from 1 species
GGGGACGAGCUCGGCGACC